GGUCAAGCUACAAAGAGCUAACGGUGGAUACCUAGGCACA
rnacentral:rRNA from 2 species